rnacentral:tRNA from 1 species
GUUUCUGUGACGCAAUCGGUUAGCGCGUUCGGCUGUUAACCGAAAGGUUGAUGGUUCGAAUCCAUCCAGAAACG